rnacentral:rRNA from 1 species
UACGUAGGUGGCAAGCGUUGUCCGGAUUUACUGGGCGUAAAGGGCGUGCAGGCGGUUUGUUAAGUGCAGGGUGAAAGCUCCCGGCUCAACUGGGAGGGGUCUUCGGAUACUGGCGGACUUGAGGAGUGCAGAGGUGAGUGGAAUUCUCGGUGUAGUGGUGAAAUGCGUAGAUAUCGAGAGGAACACCAGUGGCGAAGGCGGCUCACUGGGCACCACCUGACGCUGAGGCGCGAAAGCGUGGGGGAGCGAACCGG